rfam:Caenorhabditis remanei strain PB4641 contig264.4, whole genome shotgun sequence.
GGCCCCGUGGUGUAGUGGUAGCACGUCGGGCUAGGAAUCAUUCCCCUAGCUGGAAGCGUUGGUUCGAAUCCUUCCGGGUCCA